UCNCGGUCCCACUUCGGUGGCGCGCACACAGGUGCUGCAUGGCUGUCGUCAGCUCGUGUCGUGAGAUGUUGGGUUAAGUCCCGCAACGAGCGCAACCCACGUCCUUAGUUGCCAUCAUUCAGUUGGGCACUCUAGGGAGACUGCCGGUGAUAAGCCGCGAGGAAGGUGUGGAUGACGUCAAGUCCUCAUGGCCCUUACGGGAUGGGCUACACACGUGCUACAAUGGCGGUGACAGUGGGACGCGAAGGAGCGAUCUGGAGCAAAUCCCCAAAAGCCGUCUCAGUUCGGAUUGCACUCUGCACCUUGGGUGCAAAAAGGCGG
rnacentral:rRNA from 1 species